rnacentral:rRNA from 1 species
ACUCAAAGGAAUUGACGGGGGCCCGCACAAGCGGCGGAGCAUGCGGAUUAAUUCGAUGCAACGCGAAGAACCUUACCAAGGCUUGACAUGUACCGGAAACCCUCGGAGACGCAGGGCCCCGCAAGGCUGGUACACAGGUGGUGCAUGGUUGUCGUCAGCUCGUGUCGUGAGAUGUUGGGUUAAGUCCCGCAACGAGCGCAACCCUCGUUCUAUGUUGCCAGCGGUUCGGCCGGGGACUCAUAGGAGACUGCCGGGGUCAACUCGGAGGAAGGUGGGGAUGACGUCAAAUCAUCAUGCCCCUUACGUCUUGGGCUUCACGCAUGCUACAAUGGCCGGUACAGAGGGCUGCGAUACCGCGAGGUGGAGCGAAUCCCUUAAAGCUGGUCUCAGUUCGGAUUGGGGUCUGCAACUCGACCCCAUGAAGUCGGAGUCGCUAGUAAUCGCAGAUCAGCAACGCUGCGGUGAAUACGUUCCCGGGCCUUGUACACACCGCCCGU